rnacentral:lncRNA from 1 species
CCAGAACAUUUACCAUUGACCGGGUUCCUGAUCCCAACCAACCUUUCCACCCAGACACCACACUUAUUUUAGAGCAGAGCUGUCCACCACCCAGGCCUGUUGCAGGCCAUCAGGGCCCAAAGGUCAAGCUGCCCGCCCUGCCUUCAGUUAGUUGUACCUUUCAGCCAGAAAGACAGGUCACUACCAGCCAAAAUGGUGGGAUAAUUAGGACCAGGAGAAGACCAGAGCCUAGGCUCUACAAGAAGAGACAUGGGAGCCAGCCCUCUGCUGAGACAUGGCCGAGAUAGAAGACUCAGAAUUUCUUCUCCUUCGAAAUUCUAUGAAACCAAGUUCUGUUGGCAAAGAAAGAUGAAGAAAUAAAGUGUGACCUCCCAGCUGGGUGAGCUGUAAUCCCAACAAUCAGAAUGUUGAGGGCACAGAAGUCUGAAGUUCUAGAAGCUUGCUUCAGACUGCUUCUCGAAUCCAGUUUCCACUGGGUGCUGCCUCUCCACACAUUUAGUGAGACUCUGGGAAGAUGACCACACAACAGUAAUUAAAGAUGCUUGCAGCUGCCAGGCAGUGGUGGCACACACCUUUAGUCCCAGCACUUGGGAGGCAGAGGCAAGUGGAUCAGCCUGGUCUCCAGAGUGAGUUCCAGGACAGCCUCCAAAGCCACAGAGAAAUCCUGUCUCGAAAAACCCAAAGGGAAAAAAAAAGAUGUUUGCAGCUGAGAAUGACAGCUGACAUCUGUAAUCACAUCCUGCAG